rnacentral:rRNA from 1 species
UAGGGACUCUUCGGCAAUGGACGAAAGUCUGACCGAGCAACGUCGCGAGAGUGAAGAAGGUUUUCGGAUCGUAAAACUCUGUUGUUAGAGAAGAACAAGGACGUUAGUAACUGAACGUCCCCUGACGGUAUCUAACCAGAAAGCCACGGCUAACUACGUGCCAGCAGCCGCGGUAAUACGUAGGUGGCAAGCGUUGUCCGGAUUUAUUGGGCGUAAAGCGAGCGCAGGCGGUUUCUUAAGUCUGAUGUGAAAGCCCCCGGCUCAACCGGGGAGGGUCAUUGGAAACUGAGAGACUUGAGUGCAGAAGAGGAGAGUGGAAUUCCAUGUGUAGCGGUGAAAUGCGUAGAUAUAUGGAGGAACACCAGUGGCGAAGGCGGCUCUCUGGUCUGUAACUGACACUGAGGCUCGAAAGCGUGGGGAGCAAACAGG